ensembl:snRNA U6 U6 spliceosomal RNA
AUACUGGCUUCAGCAACACAUAUACUAAAAUUGGAAGGGUACAGAGAAGAUUAGCAUGGCCCCUGCGCAAGAAUGAUAUACAAAUUCGUGAAGUGUUACAUAAUAUA